rnacentral:rRNA from 1 species
GGCUAACUACGUGCCAGCAGCCGCGGUAAUACGUAGGGUGCGAGCGUUAUCCGGAAUUAUUGGGCGUAAAGAGCUCGUAGGCGGUUUGUCGCGUCUGUCGUGAAAGUCCGGGGCUUAACCCCGGGAUCUGCGGUGGGUACGGGCAGACUAGAGUGCAGUAGGGGAGACUGGAAUUCCUGGUGUAGCGGUGGAAUGCGCAGAUAUCAGGAGGAACACCGAUGGCGAAGGCAGGUCUCUGGGCUGUAACUGACGCUGAGGAGCGAAAGCAUGGGGAGCGAACAGGAUUAGAUACCCUGGUAGUCCAUGCCGUAAACGUUGGGCACUAGGUGUGGGGACCAUUCCACGGUUUCCGCGCCGCAGCUAACGCAUUAAGUGCCCCGCCUGGGGAGUACGGCCGCAAGGCUAAAACUCAAAGGAAUUGACGGGGGCCCGCACAAGCGGCGGAGCAUGCGGAUUAAUUCGAUGCAACGCGAAGAACCUUACCAAGGCUUGACAUGUUCUCGAUCGCCGUAGAGAUACGGUUUCCCCUUUGGGGCGGGUUCACAGGUGGUGCAUGGUUGUCGUCAGCUCGUGUCGUGAGAUGUUGGGUUAAGUCCCGCAACGAGCGCAACCCUCGUUCCAUGUUGCCAGCACGUCGUGGUGGGGACUCAUGGGAGACUGCCGGGGUCAACUCGGAGGAAGGUGAGGACGACGUCAAAUCAUCAUGCCCCUUAUGUCUUGGGCUUCACGCAUGCUACAAUGGCCGGUACAAUGGGUUGCGAUACUGUGAGGUGGAGCUAAUCCCAAAAAGCCGGUCUCAGUUCGGAUUGGGGUCUGCAACUCGACCCCAUGAAGUCGGAGUCGCUAGUAAUCGCAGAUCAGCAACGCUGCGGUGAAUACGUUCCCGGGCCUUGUACACACCGCCCGUCAAGUCACGAAAGUUGGUAACACCCGAAGCCGG